GUUAGGAAUAUUGGACAAUGGGCGCAAGCCUGAUCCAGCCAUGCCGCGUGCAGGAAGACGCAUCUAUGGUGUGUAAACUGCUUUUGUACUGGAAGAAACACUCCCUCGUGAGGGAGCUUGACGGUACCGUAAGAAUAAGGAUCGGCUAACUCCGUGCCAGCAGCCGCGGUAAUACGGAGGAUCCAAGCGUUAUCCGGAAUCAUUGGGUUUAAAGGGUCCGUAGGCGGUUUAAUAAGUCAGUGGUGAAAGCCCAUCGCUCAACGAUGGAACGGCCAUUGAUACUGUUAGACUUGAAUUACAAGGAAGUAACUAGAAUAUGUAGUGUAGCGGUGAAAUGCUUAGAUAUUACAUGGAAUACCAAUUGCGAAGGCAGGUUACUACUUGUGGAUUGACGCUGAUGGACGAAAGCGUGGGGAGCGAACAGGAUUAGAAACCCUAGUAGUCC
rnacentral:rRNA from 1 species